AUGCCCAUGUUCCUUUUGUCUUUUUUUGAAGUACCGGUUGGGGUAAGGAAAAGACUGGACUUCUAUCGAUCGCGGUUCUUUUGGCAGGGAGAUGAGCUAAAAAGAAAAUACCGGUUAGCGAAGUGGGAUAUCAUUUGUAGGCCGAAAGACCAAGGGGGUAUGGGGAUUGAAAAUCUCGAGGUCAAGAACCGAUGCCUUCUUAGUAAGUGGUUAUGGAAGUUAGCUUCAGGAACUGAAGCCACUUGGGCUCAAAUCCUUCGUAAUAAGUAUCUUCAAACCAAAACUUUGUCUCAGGUCACGGUUAGACCGACUGAUUCACCCUUUUGGAAAGGGCUAAUGAAAGUUAAGCUUUCAUUCUUUCAGAGGGCAAAGCAUGUUGUUGGAAAUGGUGCCAGCACAAGAUUCUGGGAGGAUUGUUGGCUCGGUGAUACGCCCCUUGCAAUCCAGUAUCCGGCGUUGUAUCGUGUUGUACAAAGGCGUGAUACUUUGGUUGCAACAGUCUUUCGUUCCAUUCACUUAAUAUUCAAUUUAGAAGAUCGUUAG
rnacentral:rRNA from 1 species